rnacentral:rRNA from 1 species
UACGUAGGUGUCAAGCGUUGUCCGGAUUUAUUGGGCGUAAAGCGCCCGCAGGCGGCUUGCCAAGUUCGAUGUGAAAUCUCCCGGCUCAACUGGGAGGGUGCAUCGAAAACUGGCAGGCUUGAGGCAGGGAGAGGGAUGUGGAAUUCCAGGUGUAGUGGUGAAAUGCGUAGAUAUCGAGAGGAACACCGGUGGCGAAGGCGGCCUUCUGGACAGUGACUGACGCUGAGACGCGAAAGCGUGGGGAGCAAACAGG